AGCAACAGUAUCAACUGCAGUACCACCAGCAACAAUAUCUGCAGGACCAUCAGAUAUAUUAUAAAAUAGUAUUUAAAAUCAGUUGUCAGCCACAUGUGGUCUAUAUGAUGCAACAUGUUUGCAAUUGUUGGCAUGUCAUUU
rnacentral:lncRNA from 1 species